AGCGAACGCUGGCGGCAGGCCUAACACAUGCAAGUCGAACGAACUCUUCGGAGUUAGUGGCGGACGGGUGAGUAACACGUGGGAACGUGCCUUUAGGUUCGGAAUAACUCAGGGAAACUUGUGCUAAUACCGAAUGUGCCCUUCGGGGGACAGAUUUAUCGCCUUUAGAGCGGCCCGCGUCUGAUUAGCUAGUUGGUGGUGUAAUGGACCACCAAGGCGACGAUCAGUAGCUGGUCUGAGAGGAUGAUCAGCCACAUUGGGACUGAGACACGGCCCAAACUCCUACGGGAGGCAGCAGUGGGGAAUCUUGCGCAAUGGGCGAAAGCCUGACGCAGCCAUGCCGCGUGAAUGAUGAAGGUCUUAGGAUUGUAAAAUUCUUUCACCGGGGACGAUAAUGACGGUACCCGGAGAAGAAGCCCCGGCUAACUUCGUGCCAGCCGCCGCCGUAA
rnacentral:rRNA from 1 species